GGAAGAAAAAACAUUGUUAGGCAAAGGGAACAACUAGGGCAAAGGUUUUGAAAUGGGCAAGGUUUGGGAGUGCUCAAACCUGGCAAAAAAGAUGACCUCAAUGGAGGGUGCUCCAUGUUGAUGUGAGAAAAUGGCUGGAGACAAGGAGCCUGUGAAGAUAGAUCAUGCCUGGCUUCAUAUAGCAAGAGACCAAAAGAAAUGUUCUUAUCCAAGAGGAGCUGCCAUGAUGCAAAUGACUUACUCCAUGACAUAUUCCCUGCCACGAUAUCCUGCUGCACUAGGGCCUAAAAGCAAUGGAGCCAGCCAACCAUACGCUGGACCCUCCAAUGGUGAACCAAUAUAAAUCAUUUAAAGUCAUUUGUCUCA